UCAGUGGCUUUUAUUAAAGUCUCCAGUUUCAGACCCUCCAACCUCCAACCAUUGUGUGUGCUCCCCAUGGGCCCUGCCCCAGCCCCCAGCCCCUGGCUAAGCUGACUCCAAAGAGCCCCCUGCCCUGCCCUGCCCUGCCCUGCCCUGCCUCCCACCUCUACCUCCCAGGGUGAGAGCAGAAAAGCUGCCUACUCAGAAGGGAACCUCUCAGCCUUCACCCUCAACACCCAAACUGUCUCUGAUCUAAAGCUGGCACUGAAGGGGUAGGAAGCAGUGGCCUCCACCUUGACUCUCAAACCGACUGGACAUCUAUCUGCCAGAAGUCUCUCCUCACUUCACCCAGACCCAGGAAUGUAGUGCAGAGCCCCAGGCUUGAAUUCCCAGCCCAGACCGCAGGCAGCUGCAAGGCCUGGUCCUCACAUUCUUCUAGACAACACGCCUGGGGUUUGAGAGUGAAGAAACUUAGGCUGGGCUCUUCAGCAAUACCUCCUGAAGCAGAAGUUUGGAAUGAGCAUGAGCAGUUGGUCCCAGAAAGCCCUUACUAAGCUGGGGAAACAGAAAAGAAACAUGGAGAGAGACUCAGACAGUCCCCGAUGAGACCUGGGGUGGGGGUGGGGUUGAAGAUGGGGGCAGGUGGGGAAUGAUCUCAGGUCCCUACUGAGUGCCAUGCCUGAUUCCACUCUGAAGGACCAAAUGGGGAGAUGGCUGUUUCUCUUUGUACUCCACUAUAUGAGAUAUGCAGUGGACAUUGUGCAAA